rnacentral:rRNA from 1 species
CCUACGGGAGGCAGCAGUGAGGAAUAUUGGUCAAUGGCCGGAAGGCUGAACCAGCCAAGCCGCGUGAAGGACGAAGGUGCCAAGCAUUGUAAACUUCUUUUGUCAAGGGACAAAAUCAGGCUCGAGAGCCUGACCGAGGGUACUUGAAGAAAAAGCAUCGGCUAACUCGGUGCCAGCAGCCGCGGUAAUACGGAGGAUGCGAGCGUUAUCCGGAUUUAUUGGGGUUAAAGGGUGGGUAGGCGGGCUGUUAAGGCAGCGGUAAAAGGCCGGGGCUCAACCCCGGCGAGCCGUUGAAACUGGGUGUCUUGAGAUGUCGAGAGGUAUGCGGAAUGCGCAGUGUAGCGGUGAAAUGCUUAGAUAUUGCGCAGAACUCCGAUUGCGAAGGCAGCAUACCGGCGGCGAUCUGACGCUGAGGCACGAAAGCGUGGGUAUCGAACAGGAUUAGAUACCCCAGUAGUC